CUCCUUCUAGUACCUUUAAACAGCCUGUAUCAAUUUCGAAUCAAUGUCCUUCGAAGCCUCAUCUGAUGACUCUUCUUCCUCGAACUUGCCUUUCCUUCGAACCGCGUCUGGAUCGCCUUUGUCCGAGUCCUUAGGAUAUCAACGGAGACUUCUUCCCUUCCCUUGGGAACCAUGAAUGAUGCUUCCCCCCAAGCUUUGCAUUGCUCAAGAGUAGCCUGCAACAUUUUAAAGUAUUGGAGCAUUUGCUCAUUGAUCAAAUUGUUGAGUUAUGCUUCAUUGACCAUAGAAGGUGUGUUUUGUCCACUAUCAGGAGUGAAAGAAAUAAUAGUGCCCUCAUUAAUAGCAACCUUAGCAGCAAUUAGUGAAUUGCCGACCAUUUCGAAAAAGAGAUUUCUUUUUAAGAGAAAGGGAACAAAAGACCGACUUUAAUCCAAAUGAACAGAGAGAAUUCAACUGAUUUUUCGGCAUUGAAACCAAAUGAUGUGGCCGAAAUGAAGUUGUGUCGCGAUUGGUCAAUCUGCAAGAAAGAGAACGUGAAGUGGUUAGCGCAUAUGGCAGCUACUCCGACGCUCAAGUCAGUAAACUGAAGAAAAUGGCGAAUAUAAAGAAUUGCUUAGAACUCAAGUAUAGUUGUGUAAGAAUGCGUACUUUUAUCUAUGCGAUCAUCAACUUUUAUACUAUAAGAAAUUGUUGAUUUAUAUUUCAUUGACCACAGGUGUGUUUUAU
rnacentral:lncRNA from 1 species